rnacentral:rRNA from 1 species
UACGUAGGGUGCAAGCGUUGUCCGGAAUUAUUGGGCGUAAAGAGCUCGUAGGCGGUUUGUCGCGUCGGAUGUGAAAACCCGGGGCUCAACCCCGGGACUGCAUUCGAUACGGGCAGACUAGAGUUCGGUAGGGGAGUCUGGAAUUCCUGGUGUAGCGGUGAAAUGCGCAGAUAUCAGGAGGAACACCGGUGGCGAAGGCGGGACUCUGGGCCGAUACUGACGCUGAGGAGCGAAAGCGUGGGGAGCAAACAGG